rnacentral:misc_RNA from 1 species
GAUGAAGAACGCAUCGAAAUGCGAUAAGUAAUGUGAAUUGCAGAGUUCAGUGAAUCAUCGAAUCUUUGAACGCACAUUGCGCCCGUCAGUAUUCUGACGGGCAUGCCUGUCCGAGCGUCAUUUCAACCCUCAAGCACUGCUUGGCGUUGGCGGAUUGCGUGCCCUCGCGGCGCUGCAACCGCCCAAAUACAGUGGCGGUCCCGCUGCGGCUCCCUUUGCGUAGUAACUCACCUCGCACUGGACCGGGCGGCGGCCUGCCGUAAAACCCCAACUCACGAAAUGUUGACCUCGGAUCAGGUAGGAAUACCCGCUGAACUUAAGCAUAUCAAUAAGCGGAGGA